AACAAGCAAGCACGGGACAUUGAAUUGAACGAUGGACACAGAUCGGAUCCUUCUCUCCCGAUUUUCAACGCCACCGUUUUAGAACGUUACCAACAACUUCUCGGUACUCUUUGUUUCCACUUUCGAAACGGGGAAAAUAAAUAAAUAAUAAAUUAUUAGAUAACGCCAGAAUUCCCAGUAACUAUUUGCUCGAAUCGAAACCAGGUCGAAUUUGCAAGACACAGAUCUCAGUGCUAAGCAGGCAGCUAAGAUUAUUGUUCGGAUCAAAGAAAUAAAGUACGGUGCAGAUCUUUGCUUGAUACUGUUCAAAAUUUGUUGAAUGGCGGAGAAAUCAUGCAUCAAGCGCCUCCAGAAGGAAUAUAGAGCUCUUUGUAAAGAGCCAGUGCCCCAUGUUGUUGCUCAUCCAUCACCUAACGAUAUACUUGAGUGGCAUUAUGUGUUGGAAGGAAGUGAAGGAACACCUUUUGCAGGUGGAUAUUAUUAUGGGAAAAUCAAGUUUCCUCCUGAAUAUCCAUAUAAACCUCCUGGAAUCAGCAUGACUACACCUAAUGGACGCUUCAUCACACAGAAAAAGAUCUGCUUGUCCAUGAGUGACUUUCAUCCAGAAAGUUGGAAUCCUAUGUGGUCCGUAUCAAGCAUACUUACGGGGCUUCUAUCCUUCAUGAUAGACAGCAGUCCAACGACUGGCAGCGUGAGCACUACUGCUGAAGAGAAGCAACGUUUAGCAAAAUCUUCCCUUGCUUUCAAUUGCAAGAAUGCAACAUUCAGGAAAAUGUUCCCCGAGUAUGUUGACAAGUACAACCAGCAGCGGCUUUCCGAGCAAGCUGCCUCUGAACAAACGGCAUCUGAGGUGGCAUCUCGUGACAAAAGUUCAGGGCCCAUGUUGAGAAAAGUUACGGGGUCUACAGGAGAAGACAUGAAAGUAGUAGAUGAAUUGAAAGAGGGGAGGAAAAACAGAAAGCAAUCUUUACCCACAUGGAUGAUGUUGUUGCUCUUCUCCAUUUUUGGGCUUAUAAUGGCAUUGCCUCUGCUUCAGCUGUGAUCAUGGACCACAUAAGGAUCUUUAUGGGCGUGAAUGUGGAUCCAUAAAGUGUCGUCCUUACUGGCUUCUUGGUGGUAAAUACCAAAAAAGUUGCAUGCUUGUGAUGUCCCUAUGAAUCCAGUUUGAGGUUGUCUUCUGGUCCUGUUCUUGUUUAAAUGCUUUAGUUGUUGUGCAGUGUAUGUGCAUGCAAUGAUCACUUAUGGCAGAUUAAGAAGACUAAAUUAUGACUGUUGCGUGUGCAUACGCUGCAUAACUUUAUGAUAUUUCCGAAUUUCCCUUCUUUUUCUUCCUACGCGACUUCUUGUAGCAGAUUGCCAUUGUUCUCGAGGGAUGGCCUAGACUAUUACUAUAGGGAAAGAUAUCUGAUUUAACUUAGCGUAACAUUAGUUUACCUUAAGUUUCUUUUGGUAAUUGGUAUGUACAAAAUUUAGAAAAACUUAGAAAAGAUAGAAUCAUUCCCAUUCUCUCUCUAAA